ensembl:snoRNA
AUCCUUUUGUACUUCAUAAGCAUGAUGAUUAGGUCUUCACGCUCUUGUGUGAGAUGUGCCUCCCUCAAAUCUUGAUAUGACAUUGGAACAUUACCUGUCUGAUG